UAAAUAAUUCAAUAAAAAGUAAACAGGAACUGAGAUUUUUCUGCCCUGUCCCUUAGAAUGGUCAGAAACUUUGAGUUUGAUCUUCAACCUGUGGAUCAGUGGAUACACAUCACGCCACAAUCAAAGAAGAUUUGUAAUUAAAUCUUCAACUGACUUCGGACAAGAGCUGCUCAGACCAGUGAGGCCCGCUGCUUGUGAGGCGAAUGAGGGGGUCUGAAUUCUUCUUUAUUGGUAACACUGGAGCUGAAGACAAAUAAGGAGAUUGAGACAUAAGCCAUGGCAUUAUUUCUUGGAGGUCAGAGAGUCGCUGUCAGACUUUUCAGGUGAAGACAGUAGUACUGUCAACAACGCAAUAUGGUCGGAGAAGCCGGAAGCAUGGAAGGUGAGGAAUUGACAUGUAUUUAUUUAACAAAGAACAAAACGGGAUGCAGUUUUCAUUUACCA
rnacentral:lncRNA from 1 species